AACGAACGCUGGCGGCAUGCCUAACACAUGCAAGUCGAACGAGACCUUCGGGUCUAGUGGCGCACGGGUGCGUAACGCGUGGGAACCUGCCCUUAGGUUCGGAAUAACUCCCCGAAAGGGGUGCUAAUACCGGAUAAUGUCUUCGGACCAAAGAUUUAUCGCCUUUGGAUGGGCCCGCGUUGGAUUAGCUAGUUGGUAGGGUAAAAGCCUACCAAGGCGACGAUCCAUAGCUGGUCUGAGAGGAUGAUCAGCCACACUGGGACUGAGACACGGCCCAGACUCCUACGAGAGGCAGCAGUGGGGAAUAUUGGACAAUGGGCGAAAGCCUGAUCCAGCAAUGCCGCGAGAGUGAUGAAGGCCUUAGGGUUGUAAAGCUCUUUUACCCGGGAUGAUAAUGACAGUACCGGGAGAAUAAGCUCCGGCUAACUCCGU
rnacentral:rRNA from 1 species